AGCCUUUGUGGCAUAGUGGCAUUGCGCCGCCUUGGUAAGGCGGAGGUCGCGGGUUCAAUCCCCGCCAAAGGCUU
rnacentral:tRNA from 1 species